UAGGGAAUCUUCUGCAAUGGACGAACGUCUGACCGAGCAACGCCGCGUGAGUGAAAAAGGUUUUCGGAUCGUAAAACUCUGUUGUUAGAGAAGAACAAGGACGUUAGUAACUGAACGUCCCCUGACGGUAUCUAACCAGAAAGCCACGGCUAACUACGUGCCAGCAGCCGCGGUAAUACGUAGGUGGCAAGCGUUGUCCGGAUUUAUUGGGCGUAAAGCGAGCGCAGGCGGUUUCUUAAGUCUGAUGUGAAAGCCCCCGGCUCAACCGGGGAGGGUCAUUGGAAACUGGGAGACUUGAGUGCAGAAGAGGAGAGUGGAAUUCCAUGUGUAGCGGUGAAAUGCGUAGAUAUAUGGAGGAACACCAGUGGCGAAGGCGGCUCUCUGGUCUGUAACUGACGCUGAGGCGCGAAAGCGUGGGGAGCAAACAGG
rnacentral:rRNA from 1 species